rnacentral:rRNA from 1 species
UAUACUGCAAGUCGAGCGGACAGAAGGGAGCUUGCUCCGGAUGUAGCGGCGGACGGGUGAGUAACACGUGGGUAACUGCUGUAAGACUGGGAUAACUCCGGGAAACCGGAGCUAAUACCGGAUAGUUCCCUGAACCGCAUGGUUCAAGGAUGAAAGACGGUUUCGGCUGUCACUUACAGAUGGACCGCGGCGCAUAGCUAGUUGGUGGGGUAAUGGCUCACCAAGGCGACGAUGCGUAGCCGACCUGAGAGGGUGAUCGGCCACACUGGGACUGAGACACGGCCCAGACUCCUACGGGAGGCAGCAGUAGGGAAUCUUCCGCAAUGGACGAAAGUCUGACGGAGCAACGCCGCGUGAGUGAUGAAGGUUUUCGGAUCGUAAAGCUCUGUUGUUAGGGAAGAACAAGUGCGAGAGUAACUGCUCGCACCUUGACGGUACCUAACCAGAAAGCCACGGCUAACUACGUGCCAGCAGCCGCGGUAAUACGUAGGUGGCAGCGUUGUCCGGAAUUAUUGGGCGUAAAGGGCUCGCAGGCGGUUUCUUAAGUCUGAUGUGAAAGCCCCCGGCUCAACCGGGGAGGGUCAUUGGAAACUGGGAAACUUGAGUGCAGAAGAGGAGAGUGGAAUUCCACGUGUAGCGGUGAAAUGCGUAGAGAUGUGGAGGAACACCAGUGGCGAAGGCGACUCUCUGGUCUGUAACUGACGCUGAGGAGCGAAAGCGUGGGGAGCGAACAGGAUUAGAUACCCUGGUAGUCCACGCCGUAAACGAUGAGUGCUAAGUGUUAGGGGGUUUCCGCCCCUUAGUGCUGCAGCUAACGCAUUAAGCACUCCGCCUGGGGAGUACGGUCGCAAGACUGAAACUCAAAGGAAUUGACGGGGGCCCGCACAAGCGGUGGAGCAUGUGGUUUAAUUCGAAGCAACGCGAAGAACCUUACCAGGUCUUGACAUCCUCUGACAACCCUAGAGAUAGGGCUUUCCCUUCGGGGACAGAGUGACAGGUG